UGCAAGUCGAGCGGUAGCACAGGGAGCUUGCUCCUGGGUGACGAGCGGCGGACGGGUGAGUAAUGUCUGGGAAACUGCCUGAUGGAGGGGGAUAACUACUGGAAACGGUAGCUAAUACCGCAUAACGUCUACGGACCAAAGUGGGGGACCUUCGGGCCUCAUGCCAUCAGAUGUGCCCAGAUGGGAUUAGCUAGUAGGUGGGGUAAUGGCUCACCUAGGCGACGAUCCCUAGCUGGUCUGAGAGGAUGACCAGCCACACUGGAACUGAGACACGGUCCAGACUCCUACGGGAGGCAGCAGUGGGGAAUAUUGCACAAUGGGCGCAAGCCUGAUGCAGCCAUGCCGCGUGUGUGAAGAAGGCCUUCGGGUUGUAAAGCACUUUCAGCGAGGAGGAAGGGUAGUGUGUUAAUAGCACAUUGCAUUGACGUUACUCGCAGAAAAAGCACCGGCUAACUCCGUGCCAGCAGCCGCGGUAAUACGGAGGGUGCAAGCGUUAAUCGGAAUUACUGGGCGUAAAGCGCACGCAGGCGGUUUGUUAAGUCAGAUGUGAAAUCCCCGCGCUUAACGUGGGAACUGCAUUUGAAACUGGCAAGCUAGAGUCUUGUAGAGGGGGGUAGAAUUCCAGGUGUAGCGGUGAAAUGCGUAGAGAUCUGGAGGAAUACCGGUGGCGAAGGCGGCCCCCUGGACAAAGACUGACGCUCAGGUGCGAAAGCGU
rnacentral:rRNA from 1 species